rnacentral:rRNA from 1 species
UACGUAGGGUGCAAGCGUUGUCCGGAAUUAUUGGGCGUAAAGAGCUCGUAGGCGGUUUGUCGCGUCGAAUGUGAAAACCCGGGGCUCAACCCCGGGCCUGCAUUCGAUACGGGCAGACUAGAGUUCGGUAGGGGAGACUGGAAUUCCUGGUGUAGCGGUGGAAUGCGCAGAUAUCAGGAGGAACACCGAUGGCGAAGGCAGGUCUCUGGGCCAUUACUGACACUGAGAAGCGAAAGCAUGGGGAGCGAACAGG